AUACGGAGGGUGCAAGCGUUAUUCGGAAUCACUGGGCGUAAAGGACGCGUAGGCGGGUUGGCAAGUCAGAUGUGAAAUCCUACAGCUUAACUGUAGAACUGCAUUUGAAACUGCUAACCUAGAGUAUGUGAGGGGGAGAUGGAAUUAGUGGUGUAGGGGUAAAAUCCGUAGAUAUCACUAGGAAUACCGAAAGCGAAGGCGAUCUCCUGGAACAUAACUGACGCUAAGGCGUGAAAGCGUGGGGAGCAAACAGGAUUAGAAACCCGAGUAGUCC
rnacentral:rRNA from 1 species